AUCGCGAGAGCAGCGGCGUGCCGCGCGACCGCAGCGCUGGAUGGAUGGCGCCGGUGGGGGCUGCGUGGCGCCGAACGGAGCGGAUACGCCCACGGCUCAGCCUCCUCUCCGCCGUUAAAUCACACGGUGGGACACGCGAGCGGACGGAGACUGGCGGCGACCGCAUCCGCGGGCAUGAAAGGACAUGGAAGCGUCUGGCCGGCCCAAACAGCAUCCAUCUGACAGGAUCUGCCAGAGGACGACUUGCCAAAGGACGAGUGACAAACAGAUGCCAGCAGCGGCUCUGGCAGCGAGCAGGCGGAUUCUAAAGAAGUAAAGCACGCCUGGAGAGGGGCCGGCUUGUAUGGGGGCCAAAUCCACCUCCAAGUCAAACCGCAUCGCCUCCAUCCAUCGCCUCCGUCCUUCUCCUCCCUCCUCUUUUCUCCCAUUCGCCUUCUGUCACUCUCAUGGGAGUGACAUAGAAGCCGGCGAGGGACCGGGGGCGUCCAGGUAGUGAUGUCGUGGAAGAGGAACUACUUUGCGUCCGGCGGCGGAGCGGUCGGCGGGCUGCAUGGGCUGACGACCCCAAGAACCAUGACCUCCAUCGCGCCCAGCAAAGGCCUGAGCAAUGAGCCGGGACAGAACAGCUGCUUCCUGAACAGCGCUCUGCAGGUUUUGUGGCAUCUGGACAUCUUCCGCAGGAGCUUUCGCCAGCUGACCACGCACAAAUGCAUGGAGGACUCGUGCAUCUUCUGUGCACUCAAGAGCAUCUUUGCCCAGUUCCAGUUCAGCAGCGAGCGCGUGCUGCCGUCCGACGCGCUGCGGAGCGCCCUGGCUAAGACCUUCCAGGACGAGCAGCGCUUCCAGCUGGGCAUCAUGGACGAUGCCGCUGAGUGCUUUGAAAACCUUCUGAUGCGCAUUCACUUCCACAUCAGCGCCGAGAGCCGAGAAGACAUCUGCACGGCCAAACACUGCAUCCCGCACCAGAAGUUUGCCAUGACCCUGUUUGAGCAGUGCGUGUGUAACAGCUGUGGCGCCACGUCGGACCCGCUGCCCUUCAUUCAGAUGGUUCAUUACAUCUCCACCACGUCCCUAUGUAACCAAGCGGUGAGGAUGCUGGAGUGCCGGGAGAAGGCCACACCGGACAUGUUUGGGGAACUUCUUCGCAACGCCAGCAACAUGGGAGACUUGCGCAACUGCCCUAGUAACUGCGGGGAGGUGUUGCGCAUCCGCCGCGUGCUGAUGAACUCGCCCGAGAUCGUGUCUAUCGGGCUGGUGUGGGACUCGGACCACUCGGACCUGGCCGAGGACGUCAUACACAGCCUGGGCACCUGCCUGCGCCUGGGAGAUUUGUUCUACCGUGUGACUGAGGAGCGAGCUCGCCAGGCAGAGCUCUACUUGGUGGGCAUGGUGUGCUACUACGGCAAGCACUACUCCACCUUCUUCUUCCAGACCAAGAUACGUAAAUGGAUGUACUUCGACGAUGCCCACGUUAAAGAGAUCGGCCCUAAGUGGAAGGACGUGGUGUCCCGCUGUAUCAAAGGCCAUUAUCAGCCGCUGCUGCUGCUCUACGCCGACCCCCGUGGGACGCCGGUGAUACUGCAGGAGAGCGCCAGCGCCGACCUGCCGCUGGAGCUCCAGCACUGCAGCAGCAAGGCCGGCUACGACAGCGAAGACUCGGGCCGGGAGCCGUCCAUUUCCAGCGACACCCGCACGGACUCGUCAACGGACAGCUCAAGUCACCGUGCCUGCCGCAGCCGGCCGCUGUACCAAUCCACAGGAAGCCACCUGUCCAGCGACUCUCAGACCACGGUGGUCUGCAACUACGAUCUUGGAACACAGUCGCUCGCUCCUGACGCCAGAGAGUCAACAGUGGAGGGUCCUCCCCGGCCUCCCUCUCCCCCCCUGCAGGAGUACAAGGAGACGGCCGUCUUCCUGCUCUCAUCCCGCCGGCCGCUCACCUCCUGCUCGUCCUCCUCUCGGCCCCUAUCCUCCUCCUCCUCUUCGGGGGUGGGAGGCUGCGAGAGCGGGGUCGGGGGGCCUCACUGGGAGGAUGAGAGCACCAGCAGCGAGAGCAAGUCCAGUUCCUCUGGUGGCUGCUACCGGCCCACCUGGAGGCCCCGGAGAGAAGCCCUGAACAUCGACAGCAUCUUCUCGGGCCACAGCCAGCGGAUCUGCUCUCAGGGCUACCACACCCUGCCAGGACCUUCUCACCCGCCGCCACCCCCCCAGCCUCCCUUCCCCUGUGUGCGGCCCACCACCCCCACACCGCGAAGUUCACAACCGGUAGAGGGCAGGGAGGUCGCAGAGCCGGAGAAGAGAUUUGGACUGGUCGGACAGCCCGUGUCUCUGGGACGGACGAUGGGCCCCCCACCCCCUCCGCCUCUGAGUGGGGUGGAGCACCAGCCUCGCCUGAUACAGAGAAUGGAGAGCGGCUACGAAAGCAGUGAACGGAACAGCAGCAGCCCUGACAGGGAGGUGGGGCAACACAAACGGGCGCUUAUGUCCGGACCCUCGUGGCGCUCGGUGCCCAAGUCAAAGAGCAGCGGCGCUAUCUUGCAGGAGCUGCCCUCACCUGGCCGUCCUGGCGCCACCGACACCGUCUCAGGGCGCAGCGAGCUGGACGAGCUCCAGGAGGAGGUGGCCAGGAGAGCCCGCCAGCAGGAGCAGAAGAAGCGCAAGGAGGCGGAGCAGGAGGUGGCCAUGGGCUUCAACCCCAAACCCAGCAAAUUCAUGGACCUGGAUCAGCUCCAGCACCAGGCUGUGCUCAGACCCCCGCAUGAGGCUAGCGCUCCUAGCGGCUCGGCUGUAGCCGCGUGCAUGAGGAGCGCUGGCGGCCCGCUCAAAGGCAGGCAGGAACAGGAAAUGCAGCAACGGGAAUCAGGAAGCGCCCCCCGCCCACAGGGGCCUUACAGUGAACAGCCUGGCCCGGUCCAAGUACUGCUGACGCCCAAUCAGGAGGAGGAGGAGGAGGACCGGGCAGCCAAUCAGGACGCAGCCCCGGGCCAGGAUCAACCCCCUACGCUUCCACCCUAUCGCCUCUUGGUGGCUCCUCCCCGUCCGGCGCUCACCCUCACCAUCGCUCACCCGUGCGCCCCCACCAGUGACAGCAGCAGCGGGGUGAGGCUGUGCGAGUUGCUCCAGGCCGGGGGGGUGAGCGUCAGACCCCUGGGGAGGCACUUGGCCAUUUCCCUGCCAUCUCUCCCACUGCGCUUUUGUGAGGCACCUGUCACGCUCCCCCCUCCUCCACCGCCCCCCGUCACAAAACCUAUCACGCCUCUCUGGCAACCACCCCAGCCCGCCCCCGCCCCUCAGCCGCGGCCGGCGUCCGACGGCGCCACCCGCCACUGGUCUUGCUGGAGUUUAGAUCGCCCCGACGCCAUGGUGACGCCCUAUGACACCCCCCCGGACCGCUACGCUGAAAUCCCGCCGCAAGCGCCCAGGCCUGGUCGGCACCCCGCUCGGGGAAACAACAACUCCCAGCAUGCAUCGGAGCAACGCGCCGAUCCCAGCAGCUGUGACCACGAGGAGCCGGAGCUAACAGAGCUUGACACCCUUUACCGGGCCAGUCUGCAGGCUGGGAGGACAGGCUGCAGCCCGUCAGAGCGGCUCAUCUCCAGGGUGGGUGGGCAAGUUCGCUCCAGAACCCCCAACGCAGACAUGGAGAGGAGCGUGUUUGGGCCGGACGGCGCCAGCACCCCCACCUACCUCAACAAGCCAAUGAUGUUGCAGGGUCUGCGUUUGGGGGCGGGACCAGACGACGAGGGGGACAACCCGAGGCGAAUGGGACGCAGCCUUAGCGGGACGGUGGUGGUGACCCCGCGCCACGCCCGACUGACCGCCACCCGCAGCUUUGCGAAGCGGGCUGAUGUCAGUGCCUCCUCCUCCCAUUGCUUGUUUCCUCUGUCCUGAAUCCCUGUCGCUAUUCCACCACCGUCACCUCCAUCCUGUUCAUCAACAACACUCUGUCAUCACCACCACCCUCCUCUGCUUCACAGGAGUUGUCGGGCAGCGCCGGGAGUUUCUGGCUGUGUCUGACUGGGGUCAAGCUUUCCUCGGACCAGGGUCCCGCUCGGCCUCACUGAGCUCUAACGGCGCCCCGGACGAGCUCACCUCGACGGGGGCCGAAUCGGACGGAUGACGCUCCUCCCCCGGAACGCCGUUCACACGCAAACACACGCACGCACACACCCGCAGCGCAACGUAGAGCCCCCCCCCCCUCCCCUGCUUCGGCCCCCCUCCCUCGCCCCACUAUUCUGUCUAUGCAGUCACUCUUGACCCCGAAAACCUCAAACUUGUCCUGUUGUUGCUCCCCUUACGACACUUUCUUGGGUGGUGCGGGGACGCGCCGAUUAGCCACGCCUCUUCUUCUUUCUUCACGGGCAUUUCCUGGCGCACACGUAGCAGCGGAAAGGUUUCGCUGAUAGACAGCCAUAUUUUCUCUUAUUUAUUUAUUUUUUUUGCCCGAGCCCAUGUACAAAACAUGUAUGAACUCUGUAUGUAAACAAAUAGACCUUAAGGAAUGUUAAUGAAUAUUCAACAUAGAAGUGGGGGUGCACUUCACAAGUGUCGAAGCUGGACGUAUUUUGCGCCCCUGCCCUUUUCUUCCUUCUGACUUUUUUCCCCCAGCUCACCUACCUGAAUGACAGCUCUCCCGUUUCUACCGGGAGGUUGAACAAGAAAAGCGCCGCCUCCGUUCAAUCUUCUUUUUCUUCCUGGCACCUUGUUUAUUUUUAUUUUUAUUUUUUUUACUAUAUUUCCUUCCAAGUAUGAAGUUUUCGCGUUUAGGGUAAUAGACUCAGUCUAACGUGUUAGUGUUACGUAUGUCACUUUAACCUGGUAGGGUUAGGCUUUUGGCUAAGGUUACAUAUGUACAUCAGUCUAACCUGGUAGGCUUAGGGUUACGUACAGUGGAUAUAAAAAGUCUACAUAUCUGUGUUAAAAUGCCAGGUUAUUGUGAUAUUAAAAAAAAAAAAAAAAAAAAGAUCAAGAUAAAUCCUUUUGAAAACAUUUUACACAAUUAGUAGGACCUACAACCUAUUUGGGAAAAAAUCUUGUCAGAGGAAAUAUGUAAAUAAUAAACACCUGAGAUAAUGUAAAUGAUAAUAGUGUUUUGUUUUUAACUUCUUGAAAAGAUUUGUCUUUUUUAAUGGAGUUGUAUAUGUUAUCGGUCUCAUUCAUGGUGGAAAAGAUUUCGAAAUUAUUUAUCUUGGUCUCAUUUUUUUAACAUCCGAAAGACCUGGGAUUUGAACAGGGGUGUGUCGACUUUUUAUAUGCACUGUAUAACCCCUAGCCCUGAAAAUGUAACCUUUCUGCUAACUGUUAGGGUUAUGUUUAUCAGUCUUACCAGUUAGGUUAGGGUAAACCCUAACCCUAGUAGCGAGGGGAGACGAGUUAAGAGAGCGAAUGUAGCGUGGGCUUUAUUAACGGAACGAGGCUUUGACUCGAGUGCACUUUGCGAGGCGGGUGCAGCGGUAGAAGAAGUGCACUUUUUUAGGGAAGGAUACUUGACAGGAAAGGGAUGAUUGUUUCACUUUAAAAUGGUCCUCAGGUCAAAAACAAAUCCACGAUACACUUUAUUAUAUCGACUCGGCCAAGACAUGUUGCUUUAUACGCUGUAUUUAAGAGGUCUAUUUUCAGCCGGUGAUGUGCUGAGAGAUGUCAGUUGUACAGUCAUGGCCCCCCUUUACUAAGGUACAUUUAUGAUAUGC